UAAAUCAGGUCAACCACUCUCACAACUUGAGAUACCAAAUAAUCAUGGCAGUGGUGGUGAUGGCGGUGAUUAUCUUCUUCAUACAGCUGCGAAAUUAACGAGAGAUGAUUUUCCGUAUGAUUUGUUUUAUCGAUGUGAUAAAUGUGGG
rnacentral:ribozyme from 1 species